CUUUUGGACUGGCACUAUUAUGAAUGCAGUCUCUAUGAAGCUGACGUAUACAUGGUCAUCCUCCCAUUCGAGUCUAGGAUCCUCUAAGAAACACUCAACUGAAACUGACAUUGACGUUCCUCUCCAUCCUCCCCACCACCACCAUGUUGGCCCUGUCCAUGUGGGGGGUAGGCUCCGCCCCUGACACCUUCUCGGCAGUAAUAGCUGAAUCUUCAACCUACAGAUUCAAGCUACGGAUGGGGCCU